CAGCCGCCACGGUAAUACGAAGGGGGCUAGCGUUGCUCGGAAUCACUGGGCGUAAAGGGUGCGUAGGCGGGUCUUUAAGUCAGGGGUGAAAUCCUGGAGCUCAACUCCAGAACUGCCUUUGAUACUGAAGAUCUUGAGUUCGGGAGAGGUGAGUGGAACUGCGAGUGUAGAGGUGAAAUUCGUAGAUAUUCGCAAGAACACCAGUGGCGAAGGCGGCUCACUGGCCCGAUACUGACGCUGAGGCACGAAAGCGUGGGGAGCAAACAGGAUUAGAGACCCCAGUAGUCCCUGUCUCUUAUAC
rnacentral:rRNA from 1 species